UGCCAAUGAUGAGUUGCCAUGCUAAUACCGAUGUACCUGGGCUGUGUCCCAUGACCAGGCUCCGGGUGCACCUGAGUUAAUCUCACCUUCUCGACACGCUGUGUGUGUGGAGACCUGAGGCGA